rnacentral:lncRNA from 1 species
UUGCAAUGUCCAACAAUCAUAAUAAAUGUCCAAGAUAACAUAUCAACUUAAAUAACCCUAAUCUAAGAUAACUUAUGCCAUAGUCCUUCUAGUCGCUUUCCCAUUUUGGAACCCCAAUAGACUAGUUCUCGGAAUCUGUAAAAUAAUAAGAAAUUGUAUAAUGAGCUAGACAACCCAGUAAGUAAUGAACACUCUAACUAGAUAAAUCAAGCAAUAAUAUGUGAAAAAUAAAUAUAUACGCAGUUCCAAAGUACAAGUCAAAUAUUUCUUAAAUUUAUAAGAUUCUUUUCACGGUUUCGAGAUUCUUUCACAUAUUCAAUUCAUCUUGUCGAUCCUAGACUAUGACCACAUGUUCCCUGUGGCAGGGUCAUCAACACCGACUAAUCUUCUUGCGGUGAGUCCCUCAGGACAGUCAAUUGCCAACGUAUCUGCCCCCAUUGGCGGGGUCCUCAACAUAGCCAGGUGAAGUUCAAUUAGUUCACUAUUUCAUAUUUCAGUCAUGAAAACAUGCAGUAUCAAAACCAAAUAUCGUUCAUAUCUUAAUUUCUUUCAAUUUAUCAGAUUCAACUCAACAGCCAGGAACUAUGACCACAUGUUCCCUAUGGUAGGGUCAUAACACCGACUAUUCUUCUUGCGGUACCCAUGUAUUAGCCCCCAUUGGUAGGGUCGUCAACAUAGCCCGACUGCAAGUCUGAAUCUAGUACAAGUCAUUAUCUUUUCUUACAUUAUGUUCAGUGUUUCAAGCCGAAAAAUACAAUAUCAGAGCAAUUAAAUACAAUUCGAACAAGAAGCAAAUAUGUUCAAUCAGAAUCAUACAAUAUUCUAAAAAUAUACAUAUAAUCCAUGCAUCAAAUUCGUAAUCACAAAUAAUUCGAUUCGUAAAACAGAUAUUUAGUUUGCCGAUAAAUCUAGUAAAGAGGUUACAUCACUUACCUUGCGAACGCAAUCCAUAACAAAUCCAAUUAAUUCUGCAAAUUCCUCGCAGAACCUAAUAUUCAAAAAUUAUAUUCUUCUUUUAAAAUUCAUCACAACAUAUAUAUACAAAGACUUAAAUUUUAAUAUCCUCCCAUGGCUGGCCUUGCAGGAGUGCCUAGUACCCGAGUUUGGGUUCAUACCCGUAAACCACCCCCCUCUCUUUAUUAUUAUAUUUAUUAUUUUUUUUUCUUUUCUUUUCUUUUCUUUUCUUUUCUUUUUUUUCUUCUUUUCUUCUUUUUCUCUUUUUCUUUUUCCUUCUUUUCUUUUUCUUCUUUCUUCUUUUCUCUCCCGACUCCUCUCUUCUCCUUCGGCGAAACAGGGGAUCCGUGACCCCCCUGCCGCCCCCUUCUUCUUUCCUCUCGGUCGAUCCCAAGGGCGGCCGCGGUGGCCGGCCUCGACGGCGGCAGGAGGCGGCGGAGCAAGGGCGACCUCCCCCUGUCGACUGGCGAUGGCGCACAAAGCCGAUGGUGGAGCACUCGGCCGACCCAUUUUUGGGACCCAAAUCCGGCGAUUAGCCGGUUCCAAACCACAACACAUCAUGUCUAAGCCCUGAGAGAAGAGGAGAGGAAGGCUAAGGACUCUUAUCUCCGCACCUACGAAGAUCCGGUGCCUCUCUUCUUCUUCGGCAACAAAGGAAGAAGAAGGCCGCCCGUGCCGUGGCUUCUCUCUCUCUCUCCCUCUCUCGGUGGCAACACGAAGAAGAAUGAAGAGCUCCAACCCAAGGGAAGCUCGGGCAAGGCGGCUACCUCGGGUGGCCUCAAAGGAAGGAGGAAGAAGCCCUAAAAACAGGGCUUCCUUCUUCUUCGGGCGAGAAUCCCGCUUCUUUUUGUUUUUUUUUUUGCCCUCACGUGCGACACACGCGAGGCUGAAAGGUUUGGGUCUCACAUUCUCCCCCCUUAAAAUAAUUUCGUCCUCGAAAUUAACUCACUUAAGGCUUCAAAUUUUGAAAGUAUGGAAACAUCAUAUCAUUCUCGAGCUUCUAAACAAUCCAUCUCGAAAUGCAACCUCACAAGAUUUUGGCAAAAUCAUGGCAUCUUAAAACUUAAUCCUUUCCAUCUAUGAUUCAUAGCAAGUUCUUUUGAUCUCUUUCAAAAUAAGACUAACCUUCCAGCCUUGGAUUAAAAUGUCAUAAUUCUUCUUUUUCUUUUUGAAAAAGAAAUUAAUUGCUCCUGAUUAAUUCUACAUAGAAAUUUAAUCGGUUAAAUGUAAGUAGGAGAAAGCUUUAGUAUCAAAUGCUCCUCAUUUUUUUUUCCAUGAUAUAAUGAUCAACCUUUGUCUUAGAAAAACCUCAAGCCCUUUCAAAGCCAAAUUAACAAUGUUAGAAUUAAGAAUAGGAGAUCCAUGUUAAAACUUUCCAGAUCUAAGUCCAACCAAGUAACCAUCAAUCCAUUAAUAUUAAAUUUCCCAAGAAUUGUCAACAAUAGAAAACCCCACUGAUGAAAAUUACAUAGCUACCUUCAGAUUAUUCAUAGAACCAACAACAUUCUUCUCUACUAGAAGACUAACCCCAGUCUUCCAAUAGUUCUACUUAUCAAUAUAAUUUCAUCUUAUCAUAAGAAUAAGGUCCAAUACCUCCAGAUUUGGUUCUUUUUAUAGAUGAUGUAAAUCAAACUUCUCUCUCUCAUAAAUAAAAAUCAACAUCUUAAUUUUAAAAAAGAACAUCAAGUUUCUUUGUCAAAAUAUCAACUACUCUUGAUUAAUCGAUCUAUCACAAGAUUAGAUCAUAAACAACUCUAAUCCACCCCUAGUGGAAUAUUCAUCAAAGUCACUUGACAACCUCAAGUUCUUUCAAAUAGAGGGUUGAUAUUAAUUGAAGAAGUACAAGCUUCAGAUUUAGGAGGAAAGAGGUCUACACCAAAAUAUUCCAGAUCCAAAAUCAAAAUCAUUGAUCUAUUAAUUCUAAUCUCAAGAUGUUAAUCAUUUCCUUAGCAUGACAUAAAAUUAGAGAACCUAAGAUAGUGCAGCGACAUCCAAAAAUUCAAAAUCAAAUCAAGUCUUUUGUUAUUAAAACUUGCCGAAUUAAAGGGAUAAUACUUCUGACCAACUUAGAAAAAUAGUUCAGACCACUAUGCUUUCGCUGCACACUCUGAUUCAAACCACCAAAUUUUUUUUUUUGAAUUCACUAAUAACUUUUUUAAUCAAAAUACUACCUUGUAUUUUGAACUAAGGAGAUCCAAAAUUUUAAUUUCCAAGUAAAGCCCAAAAAGAACUUUUGAUUUCGUCCUCUAACUUCCCCCGAGUACAUCCAUCUAGACUGAUCCUUGAGUCAAUUGAUACGUUCAAAAACACCAUAUAGACUAGUUACUAUAAUUCAAAAUAAAUUGAAUCUUUUUUUUUUGUCAACUCAACUAGACGAUUCCAGGUCAAACUCUUACAAGUAAAAACAACCAAAAAAAUUUUCUGAACGCUCCACCAAGAUAGAACACCUUAAAUCAAUAGAUAUAAGUAAGAUCAACUCCAUCAUCUCUCCUAGAGUUUUCUUCAUCAAGAUCUUUGAUGUUUAUCAAAAAUCUUCCAUCAUAACCAUGUAAGCCUCUAAAAUUCAAAUUCUUUAGGCAAAUCUAGAUUUUAUAAGCAUCCACAACAAUAUUGACAAAAAUUCUAGUUCAACUAAUAAAUCCAAACUUUGAAUUGAAGUUUCAUAUACAUCACGUAGUAUCCGAUAGAGAUCUAUUAUUUGGAUCCAAAUAGGACAAUUAAAAUUAUUAAUGAUUACUCCAAGAUAAAUACUUUACAAUCUCCAAUAAAAUCAAUUCUUCAAUAAGAAAAUAGACCUAUUUGCAAUAUCACCCUGCACAUUUUUCUUCUACAUGCUAGCUUCAUUCCUAAUCCACAUAUAGGUUCAGACCUCAAAGAAUAUUCCAAUCAAGCACUGUAAAAAGGUUUCAUAGCCCAAAUCUUAAACAACUUCAUAUAAAUGGAUCUUAAUUUGCCUCUAAAAAAAAAUUAUCUUCAAAAUUAAGCAAUAUCAUAGUAUACCUCCAUAUUAAUUUUUGAGUUUACGAGUUCACUUAAAUAAUAAAUAAUCACAAUGCAUGAUAAUAUUCCAUGGCCAAUCCUUUUGCACUUAAUUUAGAUCCAAAUCUAACUAAUUAUAACUUGAUUCAUAGAUUGCCCAACCUUCCAUAAUGUAUCAAACCUCAUAAGUAAAUUCAAUCAUAAUUUCCUAGUAACCUUCUCAUACAUAAUCUAUCACAAGGCUUAAUAGAAAAUCUUGAAAGUAGCUUACAAUGCAAUCGACAUAGAUUCACGUCCAAUGCCCUUAGUGUUUACCCACCUACACUCAUCUUAUGUCAGAUUCUUUGUCUUAGAUUUUUUCGACUUAUGCUCUAAUACCAUAAAAGUUGUCACGCCCCCAUCCCGAGAUCGUGAGUCGGGGGUCGCGCCAACCGCCGCACACCCGUAGGAAACUCUUCCCACGAGCAUGCAAGGCAUCUUAACCAAACAUCUCAAUUAUAAAAGUCUAAAAUAAUUUAACUGAAUAAAUACAAUCUUAUUCCAUCGACUAACUCAAGUCAUAAAGUCUCACAGUUCAAAAUACGCAACGGAACAUUAAUUUACCAACAUGCAGAAACCUAGUUCUUAAAAUAACAAACCUUGCAAUGUCCGACAAUCAUAAUAAAUAUCCAAGAUAACAUAUCAACUUAAAUAACCCUAAUUUAAGAUAACUUAUGCCAUAGUCCUUCUAGUCGCUUUUCUAUUUUGGAACCCCAAUAGACUAGUUCUCGAAAUCUGUAAAACAAUAAGAAAUUGUAUAAUGAGCUAGAUAGCCCAGUAAGUAAUGAACACUCUAACUAGAUAAAUCAAGCAAUAAUAUGUGGAAAAUAAAUAUAUACGCAGUUCCAAAGUACAAGUCAAAUAUUUCUUAAAUUUAUAAGAUUCUUUUCACGGUUUCGAGAUUCUUUCACAUAUUCAAUUCAUCUUGUCGAUCCUGGACUAUGACCACAUGUUCCCUGUGGCAGGAUCAUCAACACCGACUAAUCUUCUUGCGGUGAGUCCCUCAGGAUAGUCAAUUGCCAACGUAUCUGCCCCCAUUGGCGGGGUCCUCAACAUAGCCAGGUCGAAGUUCAAUUAGUUCACUAUUUCAUAUUUCAGUCAUGAAAACAUGCAGUAUCAAAACCAAAUA